UAUUAAAGGAAUUGGUGUGGUUCCAUAUGGUUUCCAGUUCCAGUGAUUUUAAAGAUACUUUGUGUGGAUGAUAAUUUUUCACUAAUAUUUUCUCUCUCUUCCCUUGAUACUGAUGCUGAGAUAUGCUGUACAGAUUGCUAGAAAUAAUUAGGAUAUAACCUUGCUACACCAGCAGAGUAGUGGAAGACAGUACCUACUUAGAUUGUGUACAAUUCUUGCAGUGCAAAUAGCAUUUUCUUAACCAGUUUCAAACUUUUCACAGUAUACACACUCAGAAUCAGAAGCACAAAGCAGAGGUUAGCCCCAUAUUGUCAAGCCCAGGUUGAGCUCCAAGCAAGCUGCUGAUCCUACAUUGGGCAGCAUGGUACCAUGCAGAGAUGGAAAAGAAGAAAUGAAAUCACCAUCAUCCAGUGCAGUCCUAUGAAUACAGGGUUAUCUUGAUACAAACAAAGCUUUAACUGGACAUUUUGAGGUAAGUGAAACCUCAACAUUUUGUUUUGCUGCAGAGGUGAUGGCAUCC